rnacentral:rRNA from 1 species
UACCUACGGGAGGCAGCAGUGGGGAAUAUUGCACAAUGGGGGAAACCCUGAUGCAGCGACGCCGCGUGAGUGAGGAAGUAUUUCGGUAUGUAAAGCUCUAUCAGCAGGGAAGAAAAUGACGGUACCCGACCAAGAAGCCCCGGCUAACUACGUGCCAGCAGCCGCGGUAAUACGUAGGGGGCGAGCGUUAUCCGGAAUUACUGGGUGUAAAGGGAGCGUAGACGGCGAGGUAAGCCUGAAGUGGAAGCCCGCGGCCCAACCGCGGAACUGCUUUGGGAACUGUUUUGCUGGAGUAUGGGAGGGGG